rnacentral:rRNA from 1 species
UACGUAGGGGGCAAGCGUUGUCCGGAUUUAUUGGGCGUAAAGAGCUCGUAGGCGGCUUGUCACGUCGGGUGUGGAAAGCCCGGGGCUUAACCCCGGGUCUGCAUCCGAUACGGGCAGGCUAGAGUGUGGUAGGGGAGAUCGGAAUUCCUGGUGUAGCGGUGAAAUGCGCAGAUAUCAGGAGGAACACCGGUGGCGAAGGCGGGAUCUCUGGGCCAUUACUGACGCUGGAGGAGCGAAAGCCGUGGGGAGCGAACAGG